rnacentral:lncRNA from 1 species
AUUUGUGAUCACAAAUGUAUAAAUGAUGUUUAAAUGUAAAAGCUUAUUUAGGAGAUCAUGUGAUGUAUAAAGAGAGGAAAUGAAUGAAAAGAAUGAAAAUGUAAGUGUUGAAUGCAUGUAUGUGAUUAAAAGUUAAUCAUAGUACUUGUACGGAUGUUUAGUUUAAUUACUACUUUCACUUUUGACUACUGCUUGCCCUCGUGCAAGUCAUGUAUG